rnacentral:rRNA from 1 species
CAACGCCGGGAAGCUCACCGGAUAAGACAGCGGAAUGAUAGCCGGGCUGAAGACUCUGCUUGACUAGCUGAGAGGAGGUGCAUGGCCGUCGUCAGUUCGUACUGUGAAGCAUCCUGUUAAGUCAGGCAACGAGCGAGACCCACGCCAACAGUUGCCAGCAUGUCCUCCGGGAUGGUGGGGACACUGUUGGGACCGCCUCUGCUAAAGAGGAGGAAGGAAUGGGCAACGGUAGGUCAGCAUGCCCCGAAUUAUCCGGGCUACACGCGGGCUACAAUGGUCAGGACAAUGGGCAUCAACACCGAAAGGUGAAGGCAAUCUCUUAAACCUGUCCUUAGUUCGGAUUGUGGGCUGCAACUCGCCCUCAUGAAGCUGGAAUCCGUAGUAAUCGCGUUUCAACAGAACGCGGUGAAUACGUCCCUGCUCCUU